rnacentral:rRNA from 1 species
GUGUCUGGUGGGUAGUUUGACUGUGGCGGUCUCCUCCUAAAGAGUAACGGAGGAGCACGUAGGUUUGCUAAUCCUGGUCGGACAUCAGGAGGUUAGUGCAAUGGCAUAAGCCAGCUUGACUGCGAGCGUGACGGCGCGAGCAGGUGCGAAAGCAGGUCAUAGUGAUCCGGUGGUUCUGAAUGGAAGGGCCAUCGCUCAACGGAUAAAAGGUACUCCGGGGAUAACAGGCUGAUACCGCCCAAGAGUUCAUAUCGACGGCGGUGUUUGGCACCUCGAUGUCGGCUCAUCACAUCCUGGGGCUGAAGUAGGUCCCAAGGGUAUGGCUGUUCGCCAUUUAAAGUGGUACGCGAGCUGGGUUUAGAACGUCGUGAGACAGUUCGGUCCCUAUCUGCCGUGGGCGCUGGAGAACUGAGGGGGGCUGCUCCUAGUACGAGAGGACCGGAGUGGACGCAUCACUGGUGUUCGGGUUGUCAUGCCAAUGGCACUGCCCGGUAGCUAAAUGCGGAAGAGAUAAGUGCUGAAAGCAUCUAAGCACGAAACUUGCCCCGAGAUGAGUUCUCCCUGACGCCUUGAGAGUCCUGAAGGAACGUUGAAGACGACGACGUUGAUAGGCCGGGUGUGUAAGCGCAGCGAUGCGUUGAGCUAACCGGUACUAAUGGACCGUGAGGCUUAACCUU